AAUAUUGCACAAUGGGCGCAAGCCUGAUGCAGCAACGCCGCGUGAGCGAUGAAGGCCUUUGGGUCGUAAAGCUCUGUCCUUGGGGACGAAUAAAUGACGGUACCCUUGGAGGAAGCCCCGGCUAACUACGUGCCAGCAGCCGCGGUAAUACGUAGGGGGCUAGCGUUGUCCGGAUUUACUGGGCGUAAAGGGUGAGUAGGCGGUUACAUAAGUCAGAUGUAAAAGGCUAAGGCUUAACCAUAGUAUGCAUUUGAAACUGUGUGACUUGAGUACAGGAGAGGUAAGUGGAAUUCCUAGUGUAGCGGUGAAAUGCGUAGAUAUUAGGAGGAACACCAGUGGCGAAGGCGACUUACUGGACUGUAACUGACGCUGAGUCACGAAAGCGUGGGUAGCAAACAGG
rnacentral:rRNA from 1 species